CCGGCCUUAGCUCAGUUCAAGUUGGUAGUAGCGGCAGACUGUAACGGCGCCUUCGCUGAGAUUGCGGGCGUCACAGACAUCUGUAGGUCCCCGGCUCAACUCCGGGAGGCCGGA